rnacentral:rRNA from 1 species
ACCGCAUGGUGCAGGGGUCAAAGGAGCAAUCCGGUGAAAGAUGGGCUCGCGUCCGAUUAGCUAGUUGGUGAGAUAACAGCCCACCAAGGCGACGAUCGGUAGCCGACCUGAGAGGGUGAUCGGCCACAUUGGAACUGAGAGACGGUCCAGACUCCUACGGGAGGCAGCAGUGGGGAAUAUUGCACAAUGGGGGAAACCCUGAUGCAGCAACGCCGCGUGAAGGAAGACGGUUUUCGGAUUGUAAACUUCUUUUCUUUGUGAAGAAACAAAUGACGGUAGCAAAGGAAUAAGCAUCGGCUAACUACGUGCCAGCAGCCGCGGUAAUACGUAGGAUGCAAGCGUUAUCCGGAUUUACUGGGUGUAAAGGGAGCGCAGGCGGGACUUCAAGUUGGAUGUGAAAGGUCAAGGCUUAACCUUGGCACUGCAUCCAAAACUGUAGUUCUUGAGUGGAGUAGAGGUAAGCGGAAUUCCGAGUGUAGCGGUGAAAUGCGUAGAUAUUCGGAGGAACACCAGUGGCGAAGGCGGCUUACUGGGCUCUAACUGACGCUGAGGCUCGAAAGUGUGGGGAGCAAACAGGAUUA